UACGUAGGGGGCGAGCGUUGUCCGGAUUUAUUGGGCGUAAAGAGCUCGUAGGCGGUUUGGCAAGUCGGGUGUGAAAACUCCGGGCUCAACUCGGAGACGCCACUCGAUACUGCUAUGACUCGAGUCCGGUAGGGGAGUGCGGAAUUCCUGGUGUAGCGGUGAAAUGCGCAGAUAUCAGGAGGAACACCGGUGGCGAAGGCGGCACUCUGGGCCGGUACUGACGCUGAGGACGCGAAAAGCGUGGGGGAGCAAACAGG
rnacentral:rRNA from 1 species